rnacentral:rRNA from 1 species
CGCUGGCGGCGUGCUUAACACAUGCAAGUCGAACGAAGCACCUCUCCCGAAGAUUGACACAGCUUGCUGUAGAUUGAUUCAUUUGAGGUGACUGAGUGGCGGACGGGUGAGUAACGCGUGGGUAACCUGCCUCAUAGAGGGGGACAACAGUUGGAAACGACUGCUAAUACCGCAUAGUAAGAAAGAUUCGCAUGUUUCUUUCUUGAAAGAUUUAUCGCUAUGAGAUGGGCCCGCGUCUGAUUAGCUAGUUGGUAAGGUAACGGCUUACCAAGGCGACGAUCAGUAGCCGGCUUGAGAGAGUGAACGGCCACAUUGGGACUGAGACACGGCCCAAACUCCUACGGGAGGCAGCAGUGGGGAAUAUUGCACAAUGGGGGAAACCCUGAUGCAGCGACGCCGCGUGAGUGAAGAAGUAUUUCGGUAUGUAAAGCUCUAUCAGCAGGGAAGAUAAUGACGGUACCUGACUAAGAAGCCCCGACUAACUACGUG